UGGAACGUGUAGGAACUGUCCCGCUUAAUUAAGCACAGCUUGCCACCUCAUGGCUUAUCGUUAAUUAUUACUCUCAAAGCGGCUCGAACCUUCCCCAUCUCCUAAAAAAAAAAAAAAACAAUUCAGUCCCAGAAUGUUCAAGAACCAAUGCUCUAUAACUAUAGCCUAUAUAAAUCCGGGAAUGGGCUCAUUCCAUUUCAGACAGGAACAAAAACACAUUCUUGCAAGUUGUAUCAGUCCCUUAAACCCUCUGAAAAAAAAACCAAACAAAAAUACAAGUUAUAGAAAAAUGAGGCAGCACUCACUUGCCUUCUCAGUCCUGCUCGUUCUCUGCCUUGUUGGGUUCUCUAAUGCAUCUCUCCUGCCAUUUUCAGACCGUCCCGGGAGUCUCCUGACUGAUUUCUG
rnacentral:lncRNA from 1 species